UGAGGCAGUUAAUGGUCAUCCUGAGC
rnacentral:piRNA from 1 species